CUUUGGGGCAUUUAAUUAUAAGAAACAUACAUACAAUUAUCUGUUAAAUGUGGAUGUUUUGUCACCUGCUUUCAUUUCAAUAAAUGUGCAAAUAAUUGAAUGUUUCAGCAAAAAUCAGAGAUUAGACAAAAACUGCGUUUAAUGAUGUCACAUCCCCUCAGACGUUUCUGCUGCUCCCAUUGGAUGUUGGAAGUCACAUGACUGCUGGAUGAGGAAGUAUCUGGAAGAACAGGUGUAUAAGUGAGGCAGCAUGGGGAGUUUUCAGCUCGCUAUACCUGGAAAUUCAAACUUCCAGCAGCUACAUGAGCAACAAGCUGCUGAUGCUCAUGUGCUUUUACUGGAGCAGGAAUUUUUUUUUGAUGGCAAGAUGGACACAUUUCACUGCUGUUCAUGUUUAUUGGUGAAAACAUUCCAACAUUAACUGCUUUAGUUGAGUUUAAUUGUGAAAGAUGUGAUUUGAAAUGUCCUUUGUGUUAUAUUUAUUCCUUCAUUGUGAGUUCAAGGUGAAAAAAAAUUAAAUUGUCAAGCCAAUUUCAUAAAGUUAUGGCAAAUUUAAUUCGGUUUUAAAGCAGAUAGACAGACAGAUUGAUCGUUUGAUUGAUUUUUAUCUUGCAAUUAUACAUUUGGGUGGUGGGAAUAUGUUGCUUGAGUCAUUUUUUUGAUGUAUAAUUAAUGGUGUGUGCAGUAUUUUGUGCCGACACUUGAAAUAUGCAUUAUGUGGACAUGUUUGACUUUAAAAUUGUCGCUGCAUGUAAAGAAAUUCUACCUUCCAGCAGCUACAGCAGCAACAAGCUGCUGAUACUCGUGAUUUUACUUGAGCAGCAGUUUUAGUGAAGACGUUUCUGCUGCUCCCAUUGGAUGUUGGAAGUCACAUGACUGCUGGAUGAGGAAGUAUCUGGAAGAACAGGUGUAUAAGUGAGGCAGCAUGGGGAGUUUUCAGCUCGCUAUACCUGGAAAUUCUACCUUCCAGCAGCUACAGCAGCAACAAGCUGCUGAUACUCGUGAUUUUACUUGAGCAGCAGUUUUAGUGAAGAAAUUCAAACUUCCAGCAGCUACGACGGCAAAAAGCUGCUGAUACUCAUGGUUUUACUGGAGCGGGAGUUUUAUUGAAGCCUACAGGUUAUUGUGAAGAAAAAGGAAGUUAUCAAGCCAAUUUCAUAAAGAAAUUCAAACUUCCAGCGGCUACAACAGCAACAAGCUGCUGAUGCUCAUGUGCUUUUACUGGAGCAGGAGUUAUAUUGAAGUGUAAUCUGUUACCAGGAGCGUCCAGAUGGAGGCGGUGUGGCUCUUCCCUCAGAGCAGACAUGACUCACCACAGCUGACUCGUGCUGCAGCAUCACUUCAUUAUCUCAUUCACAAAAAAAAAAAAAAAAAUACAACCAUUAACUCCUCGGCGGGGCACUUGUGAGGAAUAUCAACUAAAUGAAAGGCUGCGAGAGCCAUAAAAGCAGCGCAAUCACAUCGAGCUACUUAAUUUGAUGGACUAUUUUAUCUGGAUACGCUGCAUUUAUUGUAUCUCCAUUAAAAGGUCAUGUUGGCUCUAAAUCAAGACGCUUAAUGGCCUGAGCAUUUGCCAACAGUAAGGGGAGAAAAAUAGCAAUUGUUAGAAGACAAACAGCCAGCACUGUUAAAAUAAUUGAAAGUAAUGAAAAGGAUUGGACGAUAGAAAACUUUAAGUCAAUAUAGUAUAUAAGCCCCAUUCAUAUGCAUUUCCAUAAUAGUAGCAGGUUUAUUUGCAUAUUUAAAAGAUAUAGAAAUGGGUGUCUUUCCAAUAUAUUCCUAAUAUUAAUAUCUGCAGAGAAAUUUAUUAGUAAAAAGUAAAAUUUCCCAGCUUUAGUGUCUAUUUUCUAAAUCAACAAAUUGAACUAAAAAGUUUCAGAAAAUAUGAAAAAAAUACAAUAAACCUCACAAUAAAUUGAUUUUUUUUCCCCAAGUUUUUGAAAUAAUCAGUUGAGCUGCAGAAAUCAUCAAAUUCAACAAUAGAUGUGAAGAAAUGACAUGAAAUCUCACAAUUUCUGGCAAUUUAUUCCAAAAAACCUCUAGGAUUUUUCAACUUAACUGUGUGUUUUCUGAAGCAAUCGAACCACUGAGCUGCAGAAAUCCUCAAACUGAACAUAAAAGUUUCAGAAAAUGUGAAAAACUAACAUUCAAUAUCUACAUUUGUUGAGAGAUUUAAUGUAAUUUCUAGCAAUUUAUCAUUAAAAAGCAGGAAUUCUUAACUUUGGUGACUGUUUUAAAUAUUAAUCAAACUUCUGAGCUGCAAAAAUCACCAAAUUGUACAAGAAAGUUUCAGUUAAUAUGAAGAAAUUACAUUAAAUAUCACUGUUUCUUUUGAAAUUUAAUGACAUUUCUAGCAAUUUAUUUUAAAAGGCUAUAUUUUUUCAAGUUUAGUGUCUGUUUAAGGAAUCAAUCAAACUUCUGAGCUGCAAAAAUCACCAACUUGUGGAAGAAAAUUUCAGCAAUAUAGAAACAUGACAUUA
ensembl:lncRNA